rnacentral:tRNA from 3 species
GCCGGGGUGGCGGAGCGGUUUAACGCGCAAGCCUGGAAAGCUUGUCAUCACCAGAUGGCCUGAGUUCGAAUCUCAGCCCCGGCG